AGAAAGCGCCGCGGCUCCGGCAGGAGCAGUCACAAGAGACUCUGCUCAGGGCGCACUCUGGGUCCAACCCCCACUUUUUUUGGGGCUCCCUGUGGUCACUCGUGACCUUCCCAGCGCUGCUGAUGGUUUAAUCCAGCUCGACCGGGCACAGCUGCUGGCCAGGAAAAUGGGCCAGGAGGGGGUGAGAGUUCAGCGCUGGAGCUUUGGCAGGAAGGCGGCUCCGGGGAGGAAGCUCCAAACGACGCCUUUCCUGAGAAGUGCAAACGAGAUUUUCAUGAACUUUUCCAGCGAAACUCGGCUCGGGAAGCGCCGGAUCCGCGUUAAAUCAACAAAGGCGGAGGCUCCGCACGUGGGGGGAGCUCCGAGAGCUCCUCACUCUCAGCUGACGGUCACGGGCAGCCUCCAAAAUUUGCUAUUUUUGCCUGAGCUGGAGCCUAAAAAGAAUAUUUUGCCCCCCUGGCAGUGCCCAGUGCGCGGUGCUGGGGAUUUUUUUGUCUCCUCUUCCCCUCUCCCAACCCCGUUUGUGGCCCCGUGGCUCAGCCCGGGUGGAAUUUGGCUCCCAGCUCGGUGAUUUGGCUACCACAGGUUCAAACAGAUUUCUGCCUCCCUCCCCCCGCCUUCAGGUGGUUGACUUUUAUUAAAAGCUUUUUAAUCUUUGAUAUCAACAGGAAAAUCAUUUCCUCACCUACCUCUGGCUUUUGCCAGCUCUGAGAGGCUUUUUAGCAGCUUUUGGAGCUGUUUGUUGGGGUUACAAAUGCAAAAUAUAUUUAUUUUUGUGCCUCUAUUUAAAUAUUUCCUCCCAAAUGAAUCGAUGUGGGGACUG